UAUGAGAAAAGGGGGGAGGUAAGUCGUUUGAUACUAAAUUUCUAGGGAAUAAGAAAUAUAAUUUAUUAAUUUUAUUUCACAUAACUUUAAUUUGAACAUAAAGAUAACAUGUAAAGAAAUUUAAAAUAGUUGAUUAUCAACAAUGAUCGCGAUUUCUUUCUUUCAUAUUUUCGCGGGAUUUGAACAGGAAGUUAGAUUGCCCAUGCGCAUUAUUCAAACACGCACCUUUCCUGUAUUUGAAAAAGAACAACAAAGGACGAAGUCGAAAGAGAAACUUCCCGUUUAUCACGUAUAUUUAUGAAGCUUGUCAAACAGAUCAAUGACUAAAAGGCAUCAAGUGGAGCAAAAUUAAAAUUCGGUAUUGGGAAUUCCAGUCUUUAAAAUCAUCAAAGAGUUUAGAUAUACUGCAAGAGUAAAAAGAUGUCACUUGGAAAUACAUAUCUGAAGACCUCUCCUGCUUAAAAUUUACCGCUGAAAGAUCCUGAGGUGGUGGAAGAAUGAUGACAUGCAAUCAGGACAAAAAGAGACAAAUAUAACAAAUGAAUUUAUAAAAUAAAUCUUGUAUCAAAAGAAAUAUCAUUGUAUUACUAUUUUUGAUAUAAUUGUUCCUGAGUAAAUAAGUAUUAAUGUAAAGGUUUAUGAGGG